AUCUCCAGUGAGGGGAGCGGAGCUGGGGAGACGGACGGAAGGCGAGGCGUUUCCAGCCCGGACCACCACUUCCAUCGCCGUCCCUGUUGUUUCGACACCGCCGACGGGGAUAUGGCACGCAAACCCUGCGCUCUGUCCGGCUAACCCGGCGAGAAAACGCCGAAAUCUCCGCAGGCGAAGAGCAGAAUAUGUGGUAUGCGGUCAGUGCGAUGAUUAGCAUGUGAGCGAUAGUCGCGUCCAGCCUGUUAUUCGGGUGUCUGCGUUACACAGCCGAGGUUUUCCCAGCCAAAUGGCCUUUUGGGACGCAGGAAAAGCUGGACGCCGUUUCGCCCAGCGCCACAUCUCCUCGUGGAAACUCUAAUGUGUGCUACUUUACGAAGAAGUCCGUCUGUCGGGAAGGAAAACAAACGCCAAAGUUGGGUUUUAUGUUUAGUUGAUUGAACUUGUUAGCACGCAUAGCUCUUAUCUCGGGAUAAAUACAGCCGAGCAGGAUUUUAACCUCUUUUUAAAGCCGCCUGUCACUUCUGUGAGCACUCAGACGGCCGGGCCUUCAGGGCAGUUCUGUGUUUUCGGGGGUUCGGUGUUGUUUGCAGCUACGAGCUUUCCAGCAGGACUUGUUCAGAAAUGUGCCCGGUGGUCCGUAGAAAAGCAGACGUGAUUUUGACCAGUGGCUCACGGGGGUCUCAGCGAUAAAAACUGAACAAAAACUGUUUUUUUUGCUCUUUGAAGAGGAGAAAAAGACCGAGACAUGGCAGCGGAGGGCCGGGUCACUGUCUUCGAUAUCGGACUGUUCGCCUUGGUUCUGCUCAGUCCUGUUGCUGCUGCUCAGGCUGAGGAGAGAGAGUGUGCGUACGCAGAGCUGGCUGAGAACAUCGGCCGAGGAGGAGAGGGGCGUGUGUUUCCAGAGAACUCCACCAUCCGCUGCAAUCAGGGUGGCCGAUGCUACGGACUGUGGGAAAAGAAACAGGACGGAUUCCAACUAGUCAAACAAGGUUGCUGGGCAACUGUGAACGGCCAUCGGAGUGAGUGCCAUGACGACCACUGUCAGGUGACGAACACGCCCUCCCAAAUCCAAAACGGCAACUACCGCUUCUGCUGCUGUAGCAAGGACAUGUGCAACCUCAACUUCACUGAGGACUUCCCAACACCCUGUCCCACCACCGCACAGCCAGUCCAUACUCACCAGCUGUACCGGGAGGAGGCUAUCUUGAUUGCCCUGGCAACCGUCUCCGUGGUUGCAGUAUUGGUUGUGCUGCUCUUUUUCAUCUACCGUGUGCUCAGGGGACAUGGUAAACAGAGUCUUCAUAACUUGAAUAUGCUGGAGGCAGCUUUCUCUCCCCCUUCACUGGACUUGGACAACCUCAAGCUCCUUGAACUGAUCGGCCGUGGCCGGUACGGGGCAGUGUACCGUGGCUGUCUGGAUGAGCGCUCUGUGGCGGUUAAGGUUUUCUCUAGUGGUAACCACCAGCCCUUUGUUAACGAGCGUUCUAUCUACCGCCUCCUUCUGGACCACGACAACAUAGCCCGCUUCCUUGAGAGUGAAGAACGUCUCGGAACUGAUGGUCGGACUGAGUACCUGCUGCUGCUGGAGUUCUACCCACAUGGCUCUCUGUGCACGUAUCUGAAUGCGAGGGUUGUUGACUGGUUGAGCUGCUGCCGCCUCGUUCUCUCUGUCACUAGAGGCCUGGCUUACCUGCACACUGAGCUGAUGAGAGGUGAUGUCUAUAAGCCUGCAGUCUCACACCGGGAUCUGAACAGUAGGAAUGUGCUGGUGAAGGCAGAUGGCUGCUGUGUGAUUAGUGAUUUCGGCCUCUCCAUGACUCUAACGGGGAAGAAGCAGUCGGGCCAUGCAGAGGAUGACAACACGGCCAUCAGUGAGGUGGGCACAGUACGUUACAUGGCUCCAGAGGUGCUGGAAGGGGCAGUGAAUCUGCGGGACUGUGAGGCAGCACUGAAGCAGGUGGAUGUGUAUGCUCUGGGUCUGCUUUACUGGGAAAGCUUCAUGCGCUGUGCUGACCUCUUUCCAGGUGAAUCAGCUCCUGCAUUCCAGCUGGCCUUUCAGGCUGAGGUGGGAAAUCACCCGACCAUAGAGGACAUGCAGGCACUGGUGUCCCGCCACAAACAGAGACCCAAAUUCCCAGAGGCGUGGAAAGAGAACAGUCUGGCUGUGCGUUCACUGAAGGAGACAAUGGAGGACUGCUGGGAUCAAGAUGCUGAGGCUCGGCUUACAGCCCAAUGUGCAGAGGAACGGCUGGCUGAGCUGCUUCUCCUCUGGGAACGCAACAAAUCCGUGAGCCCUGCUCUGAAUCGCAGCACAGCACUGCACAAUCACAGGAACUUGUCACAUGGCCGCCAAACACCAAAGACUGGCACCUACUCAGAAUUCUCCUCUUCAGCCACUACAGAAGGCCAAGAGGGUGUAGCUAAACCACCUCACAGUGAUGCGUCUACAGAACCCGGCUCAGUAGGAGGGGUUAAUGGCUUAGGGGGAACAGCUGUGGAGAAAAACAGAAACUGCAUCAACUACGAGCGUCAGCAGGCCCAAUCACGGCUGUCUGGGACUGACAGCAGCACCCCCACGCCUCUGACCGAGUCCUGUCCCACUGCCCCACAGCCAGCAGGGGGAGGCAGUGUGCCACCCUGCACCCAGCUCACUCAAGAGGACCUGGAGACUCCCAAGCUGGAUCCAAGCGAGGUACAGCGGAAUCUGCGCGAGAGCUCUGACGAGAGCCUGAUGGAGCACUCACAGAAACAGUUCUGCUCCCCUGAAAUGGUGAACCCACAAAGCCCUUUCUACCCACUCAUCAAAAUGGCUGCUGAGGUCACCGGAUCCCAGGCUCGCCACGGCGAUGCCCCUACGACCAUCUUGCCGAAACAGCAGAACGUACCCAAGAGGCCCAGCAGCUUAAAUCUCCACACAAAGCCUGUUGGGAAGUUGGCCUCCUCUUCAGCGUCCUCAUCCCUGAGGCUGAAGUUUAGCAAACUGGGAAAGAGCAAUCUAAGGAAGACUGAUGUGGGCGUGGCCAGAGCUAAAGCUGUCGCCCCGGCAACUGAACCACAUCCAGUUAUGGUUGCUAAGAACAAUACAAGCGUUGACAAUGCCAUAAUCGUGAACGGUUCAACCACAGGAUCCACUGACUUGCCACCCGGUGAAGCCAUUAGCAACCCUUCUCAGGACAAUGGGGGCACGAGCUCAGAUGACCUGACCUUCGGCCUCCUGACCACCAGUCCGGACGAGCAAGAGCCUCUUCUCCGGAGAGAGGCUCAGCCGGACAAUGCCAACAACAACAACAGCAAUAACAACACUGGAGAAGGGGAAGGUGAUGGAAAAGGUGAGGAAGUUGGUGGAGAGAGAGGAGAGAGCAGCGAGUGCGCUGGUCCAGCUGGGGACCCACAAAGCUCAUCUGCAACAGAUCCCCUGGCAGUGUCCCUGCCCUGCCCUGCUUCUGACCUGGUGACCCCUCAGGUAGUGCCUCAGAUCCAGGCCCAGCCUCAGGCCCAACCAGAGGAUGUUCCUCAGGGAGAGGCUCUGCUCCGACAGAACCGAGUACGCAGACCUGAGAGACCCAACUCGCUGGAUUUAUCCAUCACCACAUUGCCACUACUGGGAGGCCAGUCGCACGGUGACGAUAACGAGAGCUCCGGAGAGAAGAUCAAAAAACGAGUGAAGACCCCCUAUGCCCUGAAGAAGUGGCGCCCGGCCACCUGGGUCAUAACCACAGACACGCUGGAUGCUGAACUGAACAAUAACAGUCGCGCUGGAGGUCAGAACCCAGGCCAGGCCGGAACCAGCAGACCCAAAUCAGCCCCCAACCUCUAUCUGGGCGGCCGUGGGGGAGUGACCUCCAGCUUCACCUCUGACCCCAGUGACUGCGACUUCUGACUUUUCAUCCUGCUUUGACACACACACACACACACACACACACACACACACACACACACACACACACACACACUCCUUUUACAGGUAUUCGCAUUCCAGAAUACCGCUGUGCAGCUGGUUGCAUCCUUAGAUAUUGCUGUCCGUUCUCAGCUGCAAGGCCGUUUCAGCUGGCUCUGGCAAGAGUCAUGAACAGAAUUACGAGGAGUUUGCCUGAAAGGAGAAAUCGUUUCUGAGUGAGCACAACCUGUGUAUCAGUUCUUCGGUUUAGCAUCACCUUUUCCUCUCUCCUUGAAACUUUCCAUGCUUUUUUAUGUGCACUUUUAAAUGUUGAAAUCAUGUGAUUAAUUCUCUUUUGACCCUAAUGGUAAAAAAAAGAAAUCAAUGUUUGAUAAAUAUUGUAAUAUGUAUGAAAGAGCACAUCAUGGUAUAAAAUACGCAAGGUUGUCUGAAAGACACGCAAGGUGGCAAAGCUUUAUUAGUCAGCAGUGCAGGCCUGUAUGUAUAAGUCCAAUCACUAGCACUUGGAUUGGGCUGAUCUCUUCGCUGGAGAGCUCUGCAGAGCUUAUCAUAGGGCCUAAAUCAGACUGACCUACUGAUAAGAGGAGGUCCAUUGGAGAUGUACUCGGAGACUACAGUGAGACAAUGCUGAACCAGCAGCGUUUAAGGUGCUGACCGUGCACAGCAAUCACCGUUCACUAGGGCUGGGACGUUAAGCAAUUUUGAAAAACAAAUCAAUAAACAAAAUCAUUGAUAAAUAUAAGUAUUUUACAUAUUUACACAAUAAUAUAUAUUUUACAGUAAAAUAUUCAGCUCUUAUUUAUUUUAUAUUAACAUCUUAUUCGAUGAAAGGUGUAGUUUACAUGAUCCUCCCUAUAUGCAGUGGAUAUAUCAGCCAAGCUUGGUUUUAAGUCCAGAUUACGCUUCUUUAGUUUAGACCUAGUGCUACUAUGCUGACGUUGCUAAUUAACACUGGAAUUCAGUGGUCACCCAAACUAUUUGCAUAAAUAAACACCAAAACAUCUAAAUCUGCUCAAAAUGUAUUAAGGGCUUAAUUCAGGUCAUACAGACAAGUUGAUGUGGUUUACACAGUAUGACUGAAUAUGAACUAUAAUAACUAAAAAGCACAACUUCAAAAAAGAGUGGGCGCCUGUUUCUUUUAACCGGAAUCAUUUAUUAUUUUAUUAUUUAUUUAUUGUAUUAUUUAUUUAUUAUUACUCGAUAUGCAACCUACACCUACAGUAAGCAAACCUUAGGCUUUACUGUGCUAAAGCUACAUGUCUGCCUAUACGCAGACAAUCAUGCACUUCUAUUUUAGCUGAACUGUGUAAAUAAAGUCUGUCUAGGUUUAUUUUACCAAAUUGAUUUUAUUAAAAUGAGCGAGCAUCAUAGCUUAUCAGUGCUAUUUAAGGUCGAUAUGAAGAUUUUUCAGCAGCUCCGGUUCUAAACUAAAGAAGCCAAAUUUGGACAACAGACUCUUCUUGGCACAUUGACUGCAUUCAGGGCAAAUGGAAAAUAUUGUAAAUUUGACUUUUCACCAAACUGUUCUUUUAAUCAGAAACAGGAUUUUUUAUCCUCGCUUUACACCGUGAGUGAGCCCUGCAGACGCUGCAGAACGGGCUGCUGAUGAACUUCAGCAGAACAGGCUGUUGAUGAACUUCAGCAGAACAGGCUGCUGAUGAACUUCAGCAGAACAGGCUGUUGAUAAACUUCAGCAGAACGGGCUGUUGAUGAACUUCAGCAGAACGGGCUGCUGAUGAACUUCAGCAGAACGGGCUGCUGAUGAACUUCAGCAGAACGGGCUGCUGAUGAACUUCAGCAGAACGGGCUGUUGAUGAACUUCAGCAGAACGGGCUGUUGAUGAACUUCAGCAGAACGGGCUGUUGAUGAACUUCAGCAGAACGGGUUGUUGAUGAACUUCAGCAGAACGGGCUGCUGAUGAACUUCAGCAGAACGGGCUGCUGAUGAACUUCAGCAGAACGGGCUGUUGAUGAACUUCAGCAGAACGGGCUGUUGAUGAACUUCAGCAGAACGGGCUGCUGAUGAACUUCAGCAGAACGGGCUGCUGAUGAACUUCAGCAGAACGGGCUGUUGAUGAACUUCAGCAGAACGGGCUGUUGAUGAACUUCAGCAGAACGGGCUGCUGAUGAACUUCAGCAGAACAGGCUGUUGAUGAACUUCAGCAGAACAGGCUGCUGAUGAACUUCAGCAGAACAGGCUGUUGAUAAACUUCAGCAGAACGGGCUGUUGAUGAACUUCAGCAGAACGGGCUGCUGAUGAACUUCAGCAGAACGGGCUGUUGAUGAACUUCAGCAGAACGGGCUGUUGAUGAACUUCAGCAGAACGGGCUGUUGAUGAACUUCAGCAGAACGGGCUGUUGAUGAACUUCAGCAGAACGGGCUGUUGAUGAACUUCAGCAGAACGGGCUGUUGAUGAACUUCAGCAGAACGGGCUGCUGAUGAACUUCAGCAGAACGGGCUGUUGAUGAACUUCAGCAGAACGGGCUGCUGAUGAACUUCAGCAGAACGGGCUGC